CACAAUACGAUAACAAAUUCAGAGUGUUUGCAGCGGAAAAACGUGUGAGUUAUGCAUAUGGAGAUGCAUACUCAAGGUUUCAUUACAUAAACAUCAAAAGGGAAAUCCGCUCAACACCGAUCCAUUCCAUCGCCUGCUCAACCUGCACAUUUAGAAAUACAUGCAGGGCUGAGUAUAAAAAUACUCAGUGACAUAAGCCGAAAAUACAACAUGCAUACAUAUAUAAAUUGAACUGCCAUAACAGUAACACACAGGGGUUUUCAUAAAUGACCUGCGCUUACUAAAACAUUUCGUUCAUUUUCAUAAAGGUGGAUGCAUCCCAUUUUCAGUCUAUAUGAUCCAUAUCUGUCCUUUCUGUCACGCGCCGGGAAGGAGGCCUCCUUACCACGGACGCCAAGACCGGUCGCAAGCGACUCGCGGUCUCCAUGAGUGUACACGUUAACCCUAGCUAGCGACCUUUGUCUAGCAUAGGAUCCCAAUUGGAUUUCCUUUAAAGUUGGCGAACCAACACAGAUAGGAUACAUAUAAAAACAUAAACAUUUUUGGCAGUCAAUCAUUUCAUAAACAUUUCAUUUCAUAAACAUUUUCAUUUUCGUAAAGGGCAUUGAACAUAUAAGCAUUUCAUAAAAGCUGAAUAAACAGUUAAAACAUAUCAUGCACAUAUAUUCGCAUAUGAGGCCUACGUCACGCAGGGGAUCUCUAUAUACGUAAUAAUAAAAUAAUGCCCACCUCAAUUGUUCUUAAAGCUGGCGUGGAAUCGUUUCUUCUUCUGCUUCACUUUCUGUCGCC
rnacentral:lncRNA from 1 species